GAUGAUGUGUAAACGCCGGAAUGCGCCCGAUCUCGACAGAGCUCGGAAGCUAAGCUGGGUUGAGCCUGGACGGUGCUUGGAUGGGCCACGUUUAGAAUCAUCAUCA
rnacentral:rRNA from 1 species